rnacentral:rRNA from 1 species
UCCAAUCGAACCCGGAGAUAGCUGGUUCUCCUCGAAAUAGCUUUAGGGCUAGCCCUGUGACAGUCAGACGGAGGUAGAGCACUGAAUUUCCUAGGGGGCGUCAAAGUCUACCGAAGAAUAUCAAACUCCGAAUGCCGUAAUGAUGAUUCACAGGAGUCAGACUGCACGAGAUAAGUUGGGUAGUCAAAAGGGAAAGAGCCCAGACCUACAGCUAAGGUCCCAAAGUGCGUGUUAAGUGGAAAAGGAUGUGGGAUUUCGAAGACAACUAGGAUGUUGGCUCAGAAGCAGCCACACAUUCAAAGAGUGCGUAAUAGCUCACUAGUCGAGAGGUCCUGCGCCGAAAAUGUCCGGGGCUAAAACACGACACCGAAGCUUAGGAAUGUAGUAAUACAUUGGUAGAGGAGCAUUGUUAGCGCAGCGAAGCUGUACCGAUAAGGAGCAGUGGAGUGCUAAGAAGAGAGAAUGCCGGAAUGAGUAGCGAGAGGAAGGUGAGAAUCCUUCCGGCCGAAUAUCCAAGGUUUCCAGAGUAAAGCUGAUCUGCUCUGGGUAAGUCGGGGCCUAAGGCGAGGUCGAAAGACGUAGUCGAUGGAUAACAGGUGGAGAUUCCUGUACUAUGUGUACCCAGAACUGUGGGGACGCAUGUGGAGAGCAUGAGCCGGGAAAGAGAAAACCGGUACAAGCGGGGUAGGAGUAAGGACAGCAAAUCUUCCUUACAAUCCGAAGACGUAAUGUGGACCGAACCAAAGUAGGGAAGCAUGUGAGCCAUGUGCCAAGAAAAGCCGCUAUUGUGAUACACAUACCCGUACCGUAAACCGACACAGGUGGAUGAGGAGAGAAUCCUAAGGCCGACGGAAGAAGCAUUGUUAAGGAACUCGGCAAAAUGACCCCGUAACUUCGGGAGAAGGGGUGCCUGCGAGAGCAGGCCGCAGAGAAUAGGCUCAAGCAACUGUUUAGCAAAAACACAGGUCUAUGCGAAACCGAAAGGUGAGGUAUAUGGGCUGACGCCUGCCCGGUGCUGGAAGGUUAAGAGGAGAGGUUAGCGCAAGCGAAGCUUUGAAUUUAAGCCCCAGUAAACGGCGGCCGUAACUAUAACGGUCCUAAGGUAGCGAAAUUCCUUGUCGGGUAAGUUCCGACCCGCACGAAAGGCGUAAUGAUUUGAGCGCUGUCUCGACAAUGCAUCCGGUGAAAUUGAAGUACCAGUGAAGAUGCUGGUUACCUGCGCCAGGACGGAAAGACCCCAUGGAGCUUUACUCCAGCUUGAUACUGGGAUUCGAUACUGUAUGUACAGGAUAGGUGGGAGACGUUGAGCAUAGAACGCCAGUUUUAUGUGAGUCGCUGUUGGGAUACCACCCUUGCAGUAUUGGAUUUCUAACCUGCACCCAUGACCUGGGUGGGGGACAAUGUCUGGCGGGGAGUUUGACUGGGGCGGUCGCCUCCGAAAGGGUAUCGGAGGCGCUCAAAGGUUCCCUCAGAAUGGU